rnacentral:sRNA from 1 species
CAAAAAGCUCCAAGAUAAGAGUGGCACUAGCACUGCGAGAAACCGUGGUCCUGGUACUCAUCCAUUGCCUCCUUCAAUGCCAUGCCUUCUAGGCGAUAUCACUAUUGGGAAGCCGAUCUGCAGUGGCCCACACUGACCGGGGUAACUGUACAUCGAGGAGGCACAGCGACAAAAUGGAUAAGUCGCCGCUCCUUCCCUUCUCAGCCAUUCAGCCGUAGGGUGUUUACACGCGGUAUGUGCCCAAGCCGCAUCUACCCAAUGAUGUGGACGUGGACUGCCAUCAGCAGCAGUAUCAGAACCUCAAUCUCAACGAGGAACUCUUGAGGUCAGGCCUCACCGACGAAAUCCUGCAGCCCACCGAGGAGAAGCAACCACAACAUGAUUUCGGAUUUCGCCUUUCCACAGAAGUUUCCCAUAAUCUACAUUAAUGACAACCACUGGGACAUCAAUUAGCCGGCGGCCUGAUUCGAUCUGUGCAUUGGUAGGAGGAGACCACUCUCUGCUGCUGACCAAGGGGUACUACAAUAAACGAGAGCCUGCAGAACCACCAGUGGCUACCAAUGGCUUCCGUCUCUGCGUACAAUACAGUUACGGACAUCUGGAUGCUCCUGCCCCUGGGAUGCUGAUGACUGUACCGAUGAGGUGCCGAGGCUGCUGUUCAUAUUGCUGGCCGAGGAACGCUCGUAGGGCGAGCAGUGAUUUCAUUGAAAUUAACUAUUACACAUAGCGAUAGACUCAAAAUGAUCUUGAUAUUAUGUUUAAGGAUAUACAUUGUACGUUGUUAUAUCUAGAAACGUAGUUUCUAAGUUACUAUAAAACAAGACUAUUAAAAAAUUA